UACGUAGGGUGCAAGCGUUGUCCGGAAUUAUUGGGCGUAAAGAGCUCGUAGGCGGCUUGUCACGUCGGCUGUGAAAACCCGCGGCUCAACUGCGGGCCUGCAGCCGAUACGGGCAGGCUAGAGUUCGGUAGGGGAGACUGGAAUUCCUGGUGUAGCGGUGAAAUGCGCAGAUAUCAGGAGGAACACCGGUGGCGAAGGCGGGUCUCUGGGGCCGAUACUGACGUGAGGAGCGAAAGCGUGGGGAGCGAACAGG
rnacentral:rRNA from 1 species